GAUGAACGCUGGCGGCGUGCUUAACACAUGCAAGUCGAACGAUGAAGCCCAGCUUGCUGGGUGGAUUAGUGGCGAACGGGUGAGUAACACGUGAGUAACCUGCCCUUAACUCUGGGAUAAGCCUGGGAAACUGGGUCUAAUACCGGAUAGGAGCGUCCACCGCAUGGUGGGUGUUGGAAAGAUUUAUCGGUUUUGGAUGGACUCGCGGCCUAUCAGCUUGUUGGUGAGGUAAUGGCUCACCAAGGCGACGACGGGUAGCCGGCCUGAGAGGGUGACCGGCCACACUGGGAGUGAGACACGGCCCAGACUGCUACGGGAGGCAGCAGUGGGGAAUAUUGCACAAUGGGCGCAAGCCUGAUGCAGCGACGCCGCGUGAGGGAUGACGGCCUUCGGGUUGUAAACCUCUUUCAGUAGGGAAGAAGCGAAAGUGACGGUACCUGCAGAAGAAGCACCGGCUAACUACGUG
rnacentral:rRNA from 1 species